ensembl:snoRNA small nucleolar RNA SNORD45
GGUCAAUGAUGUGAUGGCAUGUAUUAGCUGAAUUCAAAGUUGAUGCAAAUUCUAAAUUACACUGAGACCUU